UUCGCCGGGGGAGGUCGUCGCGUCUGGUUGGCGUGUUGGUGAGGUAAUGGAUCACCAAGGCUUCGAUCAGUAGCUGGUCUGAGAGGAUGAUCAGUCACACUGGAACUGAGACACGGUCCAGACUCCUACGGGAGGCAGCAGUGGGGAAUUUUCCGCAAUGGGCGAAAGCCUGACGGAGCAACGCCGCGUGAGGGACGAAGGCCUCUGGGCUGUAAACCUCUUUUCUCAAGGAAGAAGAUAUGACGGUACUUGAGGAAUAAGCCACGGCUAAUUCCGUGCCAGCAGCCGCGGUAAUACGGGAGUGGCAAGCGUUAUCCGGAAUUAUUGGGCGUAAAGCGUCCGCAGGCGGCUUUUCAAGUCUGCUGUUAAAGAGUGGAGCUUAACUCCAUCAUGGCAGUGGAAACUGAAAGGCUUGAGUAUGGUAGGGGCAGAGGGAAUUCCCGGUGUAGCGGUGAAAUGCGUAGAUAUCGGGAAGAACACCAGUGGCGAAGGCGCUCUGCUGGGCCAUUACUGACGCUCAUGGACGAAAGCCAGGGGAGCGAAAGGGAUUAGAUACCCCUGUAGUCCUGGCCGUAAACGAUGAACACUAGGUGUCGGGGGAAUCGACCCCUUCGGUGUCGUAGCUAACGCGUUAAGUGUUCCGCCUGGGGAGUACGCACGCAAGUGUGAAACUCAAAGGAAUUGACGGGGGCCCGCACAAGCGGUGGAGUAUGUGGUUUAAUUCGAUGCAACGCGAAGAACCUUACCAGGGUUUGACAUCCUGCGAACCUCUUAGAAAUUUGAGGGUGCCUUCGGGAAUGCAGUGACAGGUGGUGCAUGGCUGUCGGCAGCUCGUGUCGUGAGCUGUUGGGUUAAGUCCCGCAACGAGCGCAACCCACGUUUUUAGUUACCCGAAUUAAGUUUGGCACGCGCGAACAACC
rnacentral:rRNA from 1 species